rnacentral:rRNA from 1 species
UACGAAGGGUGCAAGCGUUACUCGGAAUUACUGGGCGUAAAGCGUGCGUAGGUGGUUUGUUAAGUCUGCUGUGAAAGCCCCGGGCUUAACCUGGGAAUGGCAUUUGGGACUGCAAGGCUUGAGUGCGGCAGAGGAGACUGGAAUUCCUGGUGUAGCAGUGAAAUGCGUAGAUAUCAGGAGGAACACCGAUGGCGAAGGCAGGUCUCUGGGCUGACACUGACGCUCAUGCACGAAAGCGUGGGGAGCAAACAGG